rnacentral:rRNA from 1 species
AUUGAACGCUGGCGGCAGGCUUAACACAUGCAAGUCGAGCGGAGUGAUGGUGCUUGCACUAUCACUUAGCGGCGGACGGGUGAGUAAUGCUUAGGAAUCUGCCUAUUAGUGGGGGACAACAUCUCGAAAGGGAUGCUAAUACCGCAUACGUCCUACGGGAGAAAGCAGGGGCUCACUUGUGACCUUGCGCUAAUAGAUGAGCCUAAGUCGGAUUAGCUAGUUGGUGGGGUAAAGGCCUACCAAGGCGACGAUCUGUAGCGGGUCUGAGAGGAUGAUCCGCCACACUGGGACUGAAGCACGGCCCAGACUCCUACGGGAGGCAGCAGUGGGGAAUAUUGGACAAUGGGGGGAACCCUGAUCCAGCAAUGCCGCGUGUGUGAAGAAGGCCUUAUGGUUGUAAAGCACUUUAAGCGAGGAGGAGGCUCUUUUGGUUAAUACCCAAGAUGAGUGGACGUUACUCGCAGAAUAAGCACCGGCUAACUCUGUGCCAGCCGCCGCAGUAA